AUUUGGUACAAUUAUGUGUAUGAAACUUUAGUUGUGGUUUAAAGAAGUAAAUAUAUUUAUUUAUUUUCAUAUUGAAAUAAUAUAAUUGUUUAUUUGCGUAAUAUAUAAACGUAAAAUAUUGUUACAUGGAUAAUUUUUGUAGUGGUUUGUAAAAAUCAAUUACAACCAAAAUUUAAUAUACAUAAUUACACUAAAUC
rnacentral:pre_miRNA from 1 species